rnacentral:misc_RNA from 1 species
CUGCCCUCAAGCACGGCUUGGGUGUUGGGUUCCGUCCCUUUGGAGGGGGACGGGCCUGAAAGGCAGUGGCGGUGUCAUGUCCGGUUCUCGAGCGUAUGGGGCUCUGUCACUCGCUCUGGAGAUCGUCUUGGUGCCUGCCCAUCCUCCAUCUUUCUCAAA